rnacentral:rRNA from 1 species
UACGUAGGCAGCAAGCGUUGUUCGGAAUUACUGGGCGUAAAGAGUGUGUAGGCGGUGCUCUAAGUUUGGUGUGAAAUCUCCCGGCUCAACCGGGAGGCUGCAUCGAAUACUGGAAUGCUAGAGGGUGGGAGAGGUAAGCGGAAUUCCUGGUGUAGCGGUGAAAUGCGUAGAUAUCAGGAGGAACACCUGUGGUGUAGACAGCUUACUGGACCACUUCUGACGCUGAGGCACGAAAGCUAGGGGAGCAAACAGG